UCCCAAGGUGCUGUGAGUAUCGAUGGCUAAAUGUGAAAAGCCACCAUUUACAAUGUCCUUACAUCCCGCAGAAGUUGAGCCGAAGCAGAAGCUGAUGAUGGUCGUGGUCAUUUUCCUUCUUUUCUUGUAUUUUUGGUGAAUGACAUGAUUGGGCUAAAUAGUUUCCUUGGGAACAAGUGUGCUUUCCUCGAUAGGUAAUUUCAAACACAGAAUGAUCUUCAUCUGAUCUCUGCACUUGCUUUAUUGCCCAACAAUUCUGUGUAUUGCGGAAAGUGCAUCUAUAGUAGCUUCUGCAAGUAUACAGCAAACAGGUAUUAGAUUUAUUGAUGUGAAACAGUAAUAAGAUUAUAAAUUAUAGUUCUACAAUAUAUUUUGAUAUGGAAAAUUGGAUUCUUGUAUUUUAUUUGGUUUGGUUUCAUGAUAAUUUUUUCUUUAUUUCUUUUAAGUUAGCUUUAAAGAAAGUGGACUUUGACUUUGAAUUUUUAGUUGCCGACAUUUCCUUAUGUCAAAUGGUAUUAGAAUAUAUGUUAAGUGUAUGGCUUGCAUGUUUUUCGAGCAGGAAGAAGAAGAAGAAGUUAUCUCACCUGGGAAAUGUUGCACCAAGUAUGUCCUUUUGGCCAUAUUUUCUCCAGCUAUAACCAUCCUCGUGGGGUCCUUCGAAUCCCGUCUCGGAGUUCACUUUCACUUGUUCUGUCCAUCUGGGCUGUGUCUUUCUGUAAUCACAGAAUCAUAAAGAUUUUUUUAUUUGUUUCCAAGAAUUAAACUUGUUUACUAACUAAGCUCAUAUUUGUUCUAAGGUUGACUUUGAAAAGCUAGAAAGAAAAUUCUUAAAUUCACCUCUUCUUUGAUUCUUUUCUGGGGUCCUGAGGGUCCUUGAGGCCUUUACCAGAGUCAUCACUAGAAAGACUUCCAUUAACAGAAAUUGGAGAGCCUGGCAAAGCAAAAGCUGCUUCUACCAUUUGAGAUGCUGAACACAACUCUGCUUUCAACUGCUUGGUAAGUCAAGAAGCAGAAGCUGGAGGAAAUGGAAGACCCAAAUGGUAAAGAAUCAGAGACAACAAACAUGGAAGUAGCCAGAUGAGGUAAUUUGGUUAACUGGGUAUAUUUGUGUUUAUUUAAAACUGAACUGAGAGGAGAAGAAAAAGAAGAAUGCUUUGGUUUUAAGAAGAACCGAUCUUGGUUUUAUACAAGUUCAAAAAGGAAGACAAUUUUAGUUCAUUUUUCUUCAAAGAAAAUGCUGUUGAACAGUUAGAAGUUGGGGAAACUUUGACUGAGACAGCCCCCUCAGUUGCUUUCUGGUCUUUGGUCAUUGGCUGAGUAGAGACUAAGAUUAGUGUGGAAGUCCAAGUUCUAAAGCUGACCAAGUCCACUUCCACUUCAUAAUUUAACUUCCAAAAGGGUUUCUGUUUCUCUCUCUAGAUCCUACGGCUGUGAUUUGUUGAGAAUGAAAAUUUCAUAAUUGAGAUAGUGAGACAAGUGGAAAGUCAGAGUUCAAGCUUGGAGAGUAGACUAAGAAUUUUCAAACCUUUCGUCCGCGUUGUGAGAAGGAUUUCCCGCGGGACUGCCGGUAGCAAAGGCGAAAAGACGAGAGUGGUCUAAGGGCCCCUUUAAAAAGAAAGGGGAGAGGUUGACCUUUCAGACAAUUUCAUAUUUAAUUUUUAGUUAGUAUCUUUUUGGUUAAUCACAUAUUUAAUUUAUGUGUCGGGUUCUUUAUCUUAUGCAUUCUUGACACGAGGGAUGAAAUUCUUAUUCUCAGGUAAAUUGACUUGUUGAUCUGGUACGUUAGAUCAAAGUUUGAAGUCUUUGAGUGUUUUAAAGGUAUUUUCAUCGUGUGUUAAAGUCUUUAAGCAUUUAAAGGAAAUUUUGGAAUUUAAAGACCUAGUCUUUAAGCAUUUAAAGGAAA